rnacentral:rRNA from 1 species
UACGAGGGGGGCGAGCGUUGUUCGGAAUUAUUGGGCGUAAAGGGUGCGUAGGCGGUUUGGUAAGUCUUAUGUGAAAUCUACAGGCUCAACUUGUAGUCUGCAUGAGAAACUGCCGGGCUUGAGUAUGGGAGAGGUAAGUGGAAUUCCGAGUGUAGAGGUGAAAUUCGUAGAUAUUCGGAAGAACACCAGUGGCGAAGGCGACUUACUGGACAGGUAUUGACGCUGAGGUGCGAAAGCGUGGGGAGCAAACAGG